ACUUAAAUAGCUUAUAUAAGAGCAUGAUAUUGAAGAUAUUAAUGAGAUUUUAUUAAAUCUUUAAGUA
rnacentral:tRNA from 1 species